rnacentral:lncRNA from 1 species
GCCAUUAUCAAGUUCCCCUGACCACUGAGUUGGCCAGGAAGAAGACAGGACAACAACAUGCUUGUGUUCUUUGUGGAUAUUAAAGCUAGUAAGCACCACAUCAAACAGGCUGGAAGCUCUAUGACACUGAUGCGGCCAAGGUCAACACCUUGAUCAGGCCCGGAGAGAGGAAGGCAUAUAUUCCAUUAGCUCCUGAUUACAAUGCUUUGGAUAUUGCCAACAAAAUUGGGAUCAUC